GGAAGAGACAGAUUAGACUUAUUGGGAGGCUGGUAAGUUAUGCUUUAAUAUGUUAAGCUAGGUGGAAACACAAUUACUAGAAAAUAAUUUAGACCUUGGGCACCUUGGACUCAACAUGUGUUGUACUGAUGGUUUCCAGUGCCUUGGUGAUUCAUACAACUUUCUGGGAUCUUUUGAUUAACAGAGAAAAGGUAAUAAGAUCAGCAAGAAGAGAAACUGUAGAUUUGCCUCAACUCAACAUGUUAAGUAAUCGCCUGACAUCUACAUAAGACCACCUCUUGGCACCUGGCUACACAAGCUGAAAUGGUAAAACUCCUUGAGAAACCACACAAGGAUGGAAUACUUGCUUAGAGACAUGAGAGUAGCCUAGAAUCUAAGAAUCUGUACUUCCUUCUACAGUUGUCUUUGGAAAAAGAAUAGACAUUCAUGGCAGACCAAAGAUCACUCUCUGAAGGUGUUGUGUGAGAAAUCCACAUAGGAGCAACCCAAGAAAACCAUGCAGGUAAAUGCUAGCCUGGAAAGACAGAGGGAAAACAUGCCAAGUGGAGCCCACCAGAAGGACAGCAGUCAGAGCUCAAGAGCCCAGCUUUAAAAGGCAUGUGUUCACUGAUGUGCUUUAAAAUCUGUAAUAAACUGCAGUAUACUCUGGUAGUGAGGAAGAGUUGAGGCACCUGGAGAACUGGAAGACUAUUUGAAGAAGAUGAUGAUACCUACUGAUCACGUGAGUCAAGACUUUGGAGUCUUGUCUGAGGAUUACAUGAGUGGCCU